rnacentral:rRNA from 1 species
GACGACGCUGGCGGCGUGGAUUAGGCAUGCAAGUCGAACGGUAUCAUCCUUUCGGGGGUGAGAGAGUGGCGAACUGGUGAGUAACACGUAGGUUAUCUACCCUCAAGACGGGGACAACCCAGGGAAACUUGGGCUAAUACCGGAUGUGAGCAACUUUUAGUUGUUUGAAAGGUGGCGUAAGCUGUCGCUUGGGGAUGAGCCUGCGUCCUAUUAGUUAGUUGGUGAGGUAACGGCUCACCUAGGCAAUGAUAGGUAGGCGGCCUUAACGGGUGGUCGCCCACACUGGGAUUGAGAUACGGCCCAGACUCCUACGGGAGGCAGCAGUCGAGAAUAGUCUACAAUGGUCGGAAGACUGAUAGUGCGACGCCGCGUGAGCGAUGAAUCCCUUCGGGGUGUAAAGUUCUUUUAUAUGUGAGCAGUGCUUCUUAUAUUAACAGUAUGGGGAGAGAGAUAUUAGCAUAUGAAUAAGCAACGGCUAACUCCGUG